rnacentral:rRNA from 1 species
AUUGAACGCUGGCGGCAUGCUUUACACAUGCAAGUCGAACGGUAACAGGCCUUCGGGUGCUGACUAGUGGCGAACGGGGGAGUAAGGCAGCGGAACGUGCCCAGAGGUAGGGUAUAACGCAGCGAAAGCUGUGCUAAUACCGCAUAUGAUCUGGUGAUGAAAGCGGGGGACCAAGCAGCAAUGUUUGGCCUCGCGCCUCUGAAGCGGCCGAUGUCAGAUUAGGUAGUUGGUGGGGUAAAGGCCUACCAAGCCGACGAUCUGUAGCUGGUCUGAGAGGACGACCAGCCACACUGGGACUGAGACACGGCCCAGACUCCUACGGGAGGCAGCAGUGGGGAAUUUUGGACAAUGGGCGCAAGCCUGAUCCAGCAAUGCCGCGUGAGUGAAGAAGGCCUUCGGGUUGUAAACCGCUUUUGUACGGAACGAAAAGGAUCUGGCUAAUACCUGGGGAUGCUGACGGUACCGUAAGAAUAAGCACCGGCUAACUACGUG